GGGUGCACCACCAGCCACACCUGGGCUCGAGGCCCUGAACCCUGCUUGAGACAGCCCUGGCCCCACAGUGCAGAUCAGCCAGGGAAGCGUGCCCUGUCAGCAGUCUCUCUUAAUGACAGCGAUCACUUCCUGAGGGCCAGCUGAGAGCCAGGCCCGGCUCUACACCGAGACGUGGUCUAACUUGCUGAAUCCUCGCUCACGUCAGCUUCCUGAGACAGGUCCUCCCACUACGCCCACUUCGCAGAUGAGGAAGCUGAGGCACAGAGAGGCAGACUGCUGACUUGAACCAUCCAGUCGAACCAGGACUCGGGAGAGCAGAAACACAGCGCAAGCUUCCUUGAACCCCAGACAGGUUCUUAGCCGUGUUCUGCAUCAGGGCUGCUGCUUGUGAAGAAGCCGAUUGCUGGAGCAUCUGCCUCCACCCCAGCAAGGGGCCGUGUGUUCCCUGAGUGCGGGGUGGGGGGCACCAGAGCCACGGAGGAGCGCUCUGAGCAGGGAGUCUCACCUACUCCCAGGCAGGGCACCCCGGAGCCGCCUUCCUGAACACAGACACUGGCUGCGAUUCAGCAAAACCUGCUGAGAACUUUAAAUACCUCCCCUCUCCCAUCCCAGGCAUCUCACAUCCAUCCCGAGGAAAAACCCAGCAUAAGAGGAGAAAAAAAAAUCCGGAAUAUAAACACUUUCAUCCCAGCCACGUACACAACAGCCAGAAACAUUGGAUGAGUGUAAAUGUUCUAUAAGCGAGGAAGGAGGAAAAACUGUCUCCUGUGUGGAAUAUUACACGGGCAUGAAAAAUGAUGUCACUGUAACGGUAUAGGAAAGAAAAGUCAGCUGUAACAUUUUAUAUAUAUGGUAUGAUCUCAAUUAUAUAAAAAUUGCAUGGAGAAAAAAUAAACCAGGGAAAAAACACACUAAUAUGUUAACAGUGAUUUUGCCUGGUGAGGGUUAUUAUGGGUACUUUGUUGGGAUUUUUUCCUGCUGU